AUUGAACGCUGGCGGCAGGCCUAACACAUGCAAGUCGAGCGGAUGAAGGGAGCUUGCUCCUGGAUUCAGCGGCGGACGGGUGAGUAAUGCCUAGGAAUCUGCCUGGUAGUGGGGGAUAACGUCCGGAAACGGGCGCUAAUACCGCAUACGUCCUGAGGGAGAAAGUGGGGGAUCUUCGGACCUCACGCUAUCAGAUGAGCCUAGGUCGGAUUAGCUAGUUGGUGGGGUAAAGGCCUACCAAGGCGACGAUCCGUAACUGGUCUGAGAGGAUGAUCAGUCACACUGGAACUGAGACACGGUCCAGACUCCUACGGGAGGCAGCAGUGGGGAAUAUUGGACAAUGGGCGAAAGCCUGAUCCAGCCAUGCCGCGUGUGUGAAGAAGGUCUUCGGAUUGUAAAGCACUUUAAGUUGGGAGGUAGGGCAGUAAGUUAAUACCUUGCUGUUUUGACGUUACCAACAGAAUAAGCACCGGCUAACUUCGU
rnacentral:rRNA from 1 species